rnacentral:lncRNA from 1 species
GUGUGCUGGUCCUGGAGCCUCCGCACUGUGCAAAUGAAGCCGCUCGUGGGGACCUCGCCGGGCGCGGGGGAAGAGGCGCAGGGACGUGCCCAGGGGCGUGCGGCGCGGCAGCGGCACAGGAGGGGCUGCCGGCAGAGCCCCCCGGCUCGCAGGGAGCAGCAGGCAGAGCCGGCCGGGCUCCCCGCGUCUCCGGAUGAAGGGAGGAUGAGCAGUCCCCAGGGGCACCCGGACGGGGUCGUGGCCGGGAGCGAGCAGAGCACGGAGCGCGUCAGCGAGGAGCCGGGCAAGGACAGGCAGGAGCUGGCCGUGCGCACCGGGGACAGUGACGGCACCGAGGAAGGUGAGUCCCUGUCCGGGUCCCGGGCUGGGUCCCCUCGUGGGGGGGCUUGAAGUGUCUGGGGUGUUGGGAUCUGAUGGGGUUUGGCUCCCAUGGUGGAGACCCAGGGACUGGUUUGGGGGAUGUGAAACCCUGCUGGUGCUGGGGGAAGGAUCGGGGCGCUCUCACGCUGGGACAGGAGGGCAGAGGGAGGAGGAGAAGCAGACCAAAGCCUCCACGAGCGGUCUCUCCAGCGGUGUCACU